GUGCUUGCUUCGGCAGCACAUGUACUAAAAUUGGAACGAUACAGAGAAGAUUAGCAUGACCGCUGUGCAAGAUAUGAGUUACAUGAAUUAAAGGUGAUGCAUAUUUUU